CAGCAACCAGAGGAAGAAGAUCGACUCAGCAUGCUGACGGAUGACAUUUUACUGUCCAUCUUGGGGAGAAUCGAUCUAAGAACAGCUGCCAGGAUGAGUGCGUUGUCUACACGGUGGAGGUGCCUUCCUUGGUUGCUGCCAGAGCUCCGCAUUGAUGCCAAAAAUUUCCUAUCUAAGCCUAUCGAGGAGAAGGAUAUGGAUGAAGCAAUGACGUUUCUAACUAUGGCAACUCGGAGCUUCCUCGUUAACCGACAUGGAGAGUCCAGCAUCUCAACUUUGAAACUAAAGAUCUACCUGAUCAAGAAUUUCUUGUGCGAAAUCGGUCAACUGGUAGAUGAUGCAGUUGACAGUGGUUUGUUGAAAGAAUUACAUCUCGCUAUUCUUGAUAUUUGGGAGAGGAACUCUGGUGAGGAGUAUAUGCAACAGCGAGCCCGACAAAUAGAUGGUUUUUUCAGUGCCUACCCUAUUGUGCUCCAUUACCUCACAAGGCUCUCCCUAUACAAUGUACGCAUUGACAAAUUGGAUGCGCACCAUCUCCUGUUUGAUUGCUGCAAGCAACUUGGGCAUCUAAGCCUCUUUUGGUGCGAUACUGGUGCUGGUUCCCUGUCUAAGAUUGAUGCACCAAAUUCAAAACUCCGUGUUCUCAAAAUCAUCAAUUGUGCUUUUGAGAGACUUGAAUUGGUCUGCCUUCCAAAAUUAGAGAAGUUCAUUUGGGAUAAUUGGUUGCCUUACUGUGUGCCAUGGGCCGCCUUUGGUUUUGUCCCGUUGCUUGGAGAGCUGGUACUCUCACGUGAUGCGGUAUGUGGUCAACGCGAGUUUAAAUUAAGCGAGGUUCUACGUGGAACAACUUGCAUACAUACUCUCUCAUUGGAUUUCAAAGGGGAAAAUCUUUGGAUUCAACCUGAAAUGAAGCAACUCCUCCCCGAAUUCAGUAAGCUAAGAAAGUUAUCCGUAAGUGGUAUCUUUGUUGAAUUCGACCUUUUAUGGACGACAAUGUUUCUUGUGGCGGCACCAUGCAUCGAAAUAUUACAUAUUGAGGAGCUAGAAUUUACUGGAUUUAGGUCACUAGAACAUCAAUUUACAUUUAUAAGAGCCAUGCUAGAGCGAGCUCCCAACUUGCAGCUGGUAGUUCUGAAUGGAGACGAGCAAUGUGACGACUGUGAUGCCCUUGAUACACCACAGUGUCCUUCGAAAUUUCGAAAGAAGGAUGAGCAAGAAAUGGUGGUUAGACGAAUUCAAGAUGGCAAAUUCUCGCCGCAGAUAGUUUUUGAUGAAUAA
rnacentral:rRNA from 1 species